ACGCGUAUGCAACCUACCUCAUACUGGAGGAUAGCCCCUGGAAACGGGGAUUAAUACUCCAUAGUAUCACGAAUUCGCAUGUUUUUGUGAUUAAAGUUUUUCGGUAUGAGAUGGGCAUGCGUCCCAUUAGCUUGUUGGUGAGGUAACGGCUCACCAAGGCAACGAUGGGUAGGGGGCCUGAGAGGGUGGUCCCCCACACUGGUACUGAGACACGGACCAGACUCCUACGGGAGGCAGCAGUGAGGAAUAUUGGUCAAUGGAGGCAACUCUGAACCAGCCAUGCCGCGUGAAGGAUGACGGCCCUAUGGGUUGUAAACUUCUUUUAUAGAGGAAGAAACUUGUCUACGUGUGGACAACUGACGGUACUCUACGAAUAAGGAUCGGCUAACUCCGUGCCAGCAGCCGCGGUAAUACGGAGGAUCCAAGCGUUAUCCGGAUUCAUUGGGUUUAAAGGGUCCGUAGGCGGGUCUUUAAGUCAGUGGUGAAAGCCGACAGCUCAACUGUCGAACUGCCAUUGAUACUGGAGACCUUGAGUACAAAUGAAGUAGGCGGAAUGAGUCAUGUA
rnacentral:rRNA from 1 species